rnacentral:tRNA from 3 species
CGGGGCGUAGCUUAGCCCGGUAGAGCGCCUGCUUCGGGAGCAGGAGGUCGCAGGUUCAAAUCCUGUCGCCCCGA